UUUUACAAAUGGUAUUAGAGCCCAUGGUUCAGGUCUGGUGACUGGGCUCAGACGAGUACGUCCCUCCAUGAUCAGGUGAAGCCUUAGCAGGUGGCUAGUGACAAAUAGCCUGAAAGUGAAUCAUGAGAGGUGGAGAGCAAGAGAUGCUUCAUGAAAGGUGGAGAGCAAGAGAUGCUUCAUGAGAGAUGGAGAGCAAGAUAUGCUUCAUGAUAGGUGGAGAGCAAGAGAUACUAGUGUUUGACCAUGGAUUGUGAGAGAGAAGUGAUGACCAUGGUGCACUCGAGGAUAAGAAAAGACUUUCGCUGUAGGGGAGGUGGAGAACCACAGUCCUUUGUUUGAGGGGAGGAUGUUGGGUAUAAACAAAGUCCCACCACAUCAGAAAAAAACAAGAGAUGGACAUGUUGGGAUAAACUUAAAUUUAGAGAUUUAUUAUUUUGUUAGUUUUGAGUCUAGUAAUAUUUGGUUUGAUUUGAUAGAGAUAAAAGAGGAAUGAGUAGUUAUGAUUUUGUGUUUGUUAGGUAGAAUAUUAUUUUAUGAUAGAAUAAGGAGAUUUUAUUUCUAGGUAAGUUGAUAUUGGGUGUUGCUUCCUACAGCUCCCCAAGUGGACAUGUACCUCCCCACUAUUUUAAUUUAUUUCAAAAAUAUUCGACAUUUCUCCACUAUUUUCUUUUAUUCCAAAAAUACCCU
rnacentral:lncRNA from 1 species